rnacentral:lncRNA from 1 species
AUAUAAACAUCAAUAAAAACACCCUUUCAUAUAGAUAACCAAAACAAGUGUGCGUGGAAAGAUAGGUAAGUAUUAUUGCUUCAUAAUAUUUAUUAGGACUAGUUCGAUGUGAAUAACUUUGGGCCUGCAAACAUAAUCCUUUGAAAAGCUAUGUUUCCCAGUCGUAAAAAGUAUAGACAGAUGAUAGGGCACAACACCUAUGGCCAUUUCUUAAUAUCCGAUUAUGGACGACUGUUACUGUCCUAACAAUCAUGUCAUGGUCGUGGUGAAUCUUACAUUUAUUGACUUGUGAUUAAAUGUUAAUCUUAAGCAUGUAUGAGAUAAUACUUGAAUGUAAUUGCGAACUAAGCAAAGUCGACAUGUGAACUAAGAAAGCCAAUUUCCUAGUUACAUGAGUCGAUCUUUGAGUUUAAAAAGUCGAUCAAGUAUAAAAAAAGAAGAUGUGGUAUGAUUGCCAAUGAGACAACUGUCCACAAGAGACCAAAAUGACACAGACAUAAACAACUAUAGGUCACCGUACGGCCUUCCACAAUGAGCAAAGCCCAUACCGCAUAGUCAGCUAUAAAAGGCCCCGAUAAGACAAUGUAAAACAAUUCAAACGAGAAAACUAACGGCCUUAUUUAUAUAAAAAAAUUAACAAGGCUUGUUAUCAGCAAUCGAGUUGAAAGUUACAAAAUCGACGUUGAUGUGCGAAUUUCAAAAGUCGCUUGGCAGAAGAUACGACUGCGUUGUAAUACAAGCGGUGAAGAAGUGGAUAUAACAUGUAUAAGUGGAUAGGAAGAUCAUUUGAUUAUGAAAAGCCAAAGGGUAAAGCUUAUAACAUUGUUAUACUUAAAUACUAAAUAUUUAUAAUUCCGUAAAUUUUCAACGAUAUAACUCAAAAUAUAUACAGUUUAUGUAGAAACUGGGAACAAUUAACCCCGUGCAUAAUAAACCAAACGAAUAGUAUACAAGAUAGGUUUUUUUAUAUGAUUUAACUUAUAGAUCAAUGCAAAUAAAAAAAAAAACUGCAUGUUAUCAUCUCUAUGUCAAUUCUCUUUAGACAUUAUAUAUUUAGUUAUACAUAUUUUACCUUGUGCUUGUAUGAAACUUUGUUAUUGAAUGUGUCUUUACGUUUGCCGUUAUAUACACUUCUUAUAUCUUAGAACUAUACUAUAAAAUGGCAGACAAUGAAAUCCAGAAAAUAGUGGAACAGUUCAAAAUGGUACAUCAUCCAGAAACUGGUUACUUCAAAGAAGUAUGGAGAGGCGAAAGACAAGUUACGUUUACACAGGAAACAACG